ACUCUCCCUUCCUCUCCUGCUCCCUGCCGCUGCCUCCGCUCUCCUCACCGGCUCCUUGCGGCCGCCUCCCUCCCUCUCCUGCUCUCCGCCGCCGCCCUCUCCCUCGCUGCCCUCUUCCUCCUCAUGCUCGCGGGUUUCCUCCUCUGGCUCGCCAACCCGUACGUCUCCACCACUCGACGGCGACCUUGCCCUCCGCGCGCUCCCCUCCUUCGCCGCUAAGCGUCCUCUCCCCAUCUCGGCCCCUUCCGCCUCCGCGUGCCGACCUGCGCACGCGGCUCCCCAGCGUCCCCUCCACCGCGUCGGCAGCACAAAGGGCGCCCCCACCUCCCUUCCACCAUAGGCCAGCCAGACAACCAGCGGCACUCGCCCCACCCGAUCUCAUCUCUCCCGUAGGUGCAAGAGGUCGGGCCUCCGAUCCCGGUGACAUGAGGGCUCGAUCUCGCCUGAUUCUACGCCCGGCGGUGGCUCCUUUUGAUUUGAGAUGUGGGGCAGCGACUCUAAACAGACGCUCAAGUCCCAGGCGCCGGCGCGGCUGGGGCCGCCAUGGGGAACGAGGAGUCCGACAACUUCCCGCCCACUCCGCGCAAGGACUGGUCCAUGGGCCUGCUCAAGCUUGUCACCGCCACCGUCAUCUUCAUGGGCGGCGUCGUACCGCGCUAGACUACUCCCUCCUCGAUGUCAACAUUGGCUACUGCGACCAAGGUGCCGUUAUUGAAUGUCAUCUUCCUUGAAAAUGACCCCUGUCUUGCCUUUUCCGUCCAGAGAAAGGCAAUGGAGAGCUGCAUCGAAAUUCUCAUAGUUAAAUUACUGCAUGCAACCAAAGACGCUGCCUUGAAGGUUGUAUAUUAGGCUCAUUUCUGCUUGAAAACUGUGGUCACACAAUUUGACCCAUUGGGAUGCCAUUUUUGUUAGUGUUAUAUCUGUGAAUAUCUUUUGAACUGAAUCUGGUGGAAAAGGGCCUCUAACAACUGGUUGCUUGUCUUUUCCCCCACUUCCACUGUUCUUUUAAUUUGUUUCUAAGUAUUAUGAUUCCCUCUUGUAAAUAUGUAGGCCAUAUCUUCUCAAUUACCCUGCCAGGAUGAGAAAAUUAUUAUCAUCAUCAAUAGUUUGAGCAAGCUUGUGAAUCGAUUGUCACAGGAAAACCUCAUGGCUCAUUUGUCAACAUUUUUUCCUGCACUUCUGGAUGCUUUUGAAAACCACAGCCCAUAUGUCCGCAAGGUUGUUAAUCCACUCCCACUUUUUUCUACAGAUUCCGUCUUUAAUAAGGCACUAUCUUUUUGGGCACAUGUUCUUAUUGUACUUCAUCUCCUCGAAUUUACCUGUACCAAAAGGUUGUAGGAACAAUUAAGGGGUCAAUUAUUUAGGCCAUAAAGGAGCAUAAUAUGUAGAAGUUGAACUCAGCUUGAGCUUAUACAUUUGUCAAUUGGAGUCUGUUCCCUUGAAAGGAACAUGGUAAGAAAGACCGUAACUGAAAUAUGCUAGGGAAAUAUCUAUCUUAUGCUGAAUCUAUCUGUAGUUCCUAUGUCGACCGAAAAAGCUGAUGAGCAUUGUGCACGCCUAGAGCUUGGACGCCACUGCAGCGUGGUCUGGCUAAUUUCCGUGCUUGGGGCCUUGGGCGCGACAGCCCAGCUCGGACACAACAUGGCCCGCUGCGGCCUGGAGCGUUGGGCAGGCAAGGCAACGGCGGCGCGUCACGGUGGGUUGGUCCCAGUUGGUGGCCAGAGGGCGGCACGACAUGGUCCUGGUCGAGCUCGAGCUCCAGCACUACCUCGAGCUCAAGCACAUCGACGAGCACAUGCGAACACACCGGAUAUGAGACACUUAUGAUGGGAUAGUGUACCCACAUUGUUUAAAUGUUAAUAUUAACAAUGUAUUUAUAACCAUAUACUGUGAUUUUGUCAUGUCAUUUGUCACAUUCAUUACCUUUGCUUAUGCUUUUUUUUGACAAAUAAGCUUUA